ensembl:lncRNA
UGAGGAACUCCAGUAGACAUUGGAGUUGUUGAAACCCACUGACUGCCGAUUGGCUCUCAACGUGGUGGGGAGAGUCUGGCCACUCUUCCGAAUUGGAAGGGGAGGCAAUUUGCCCACAGGAAUGUCUCUGUCCCGGCUGAGUGGGACCAUGGAGGUCGAUGGUUAUCUGGGUCAUUCCUUGGGCUUGGGUGUUGCAUAGGUUACUGGAGAUAGCAGAAGCUUCCCCACAUGAUGUGGGUGACAAGGGAGAAUGGACAGCUACAGACCAUCGAUGAUGAUGGUCUGACUGUGCGCACUACGAUCCCAGAUGAUUCACAAUGAUCCAAUUUCCAGAUAUUGUGGCCAUAGUGCUGUACCUCACUGGUGAGGUUCCCGAAAACUGUGCAACACCAGCAGAGCCAAGGAGUGAAGGCCAGGGCCAUGGGGAUAUAGGUGCGCCACCCUCUGCUCUGUUUGCAGAAAUAAUUGUUGUGACCCAGCUAAGGCUGGGAAAGGGGGAAUGCAUGAGCAUGUUGGGAACAAGGCAUCAGAGCUGGGAGGACAGUUGUACAUUGUGUGGGAGAUUGGCAAGCCCCUCCAAAUGUCUGUCUUGACUCCUGCUGAAUGGGCUUGCACACAGAAACUGGGUCCUGAGCUCUGCUCUGCCUUGUGAUGUAAGGGACAGGCAUAUGCCAGCCUAGACCUCGGCCCUUGCCGGAUUGGAGUCCAAGGUGUGCAUAUCCAUCCAGAUGUGGUGCGUGACCUCAGGGCCUGUGACAGAAGAUCUGGCAUCCUCACAUUGCUGGAAUGGGUCACAGGCUAUGGGUGAGCCUGUCAGGCGGUGUCUAUGGAUUUGUAUGAGGCGCUGAGGGACUCAAGGCUGUCGUCUCUAAUACCUUGAUGUAAUACCAGGUAUCCCCAGGAGCUUCUUUGGGAAGGGAAAGAUCUAGAACCCACCUCAGCUGAGCUGGUGUGCAGUCUGCAUGACCACUGCCCUUUCUGCUCAUCCCAGUAGGAAAUGGUGACUGUGGCAUGUUAGCCAGUCACCGGGACAGGACUGUCCCCAGGCUCUCUGAUACCAAUACAUGUCAAGUAUUGGCACGCUGUCAGCAGCCAUGGCUCUGGACAGGAAUCCAUGAAAUGCUGGCAUGCAGACUACAAGAAUCCAGCAAGGCGUGGGAAUGUAGGUGUCAUUCCCCAAUUCUUCCUGGUAGGCCACAUUUGGAGUGGGAACUCCAUCAACCUGGCCUGUAGUUCAAAUAUGGUGAGAAAUCUCGGCAUCUGGGGCACCAACUUUGCCCGCUUGUGUAAAUUCCACAGAGACCUUGUCCUGUGGCAAUGGUUCUGAUCCCGGGGGAAUAAUGACCGUCCCCAAAACUGUCUGGGACAAAGACAUUCAUGUGAGGAUAAAUAACAGUAGAAAAAUUGCAGAUAGUAGGCCAUACCUAACAUCAUUUAAUCGUUGGUGGACAACAGAACAUGAGGAACUCCCGUAGACAUUGGAGUUGUUGAAACCCACUGACUGCCGAUUGGCUCUCAACGUGGUGGGGAGAGUCUGGCCACUCUUCCGAAUGGGAAGGGGAGGCAAUUUGCCCACAGGAAUGUCUCUGUCCCGGCUGAGUGGGACCAUGGAGGUGGAUGGUUAUCUGGGUCACUCCUUGGGCUUGGGUGUUGCAUAGGUUACUGGACCCUAGCAGAAGCUUCCCCACAUGAUGUGGGUGGACAAGGGAGAAUGGACAGCUACAGACCAUCGAUGAUGAUGGUCUGACUGUGCGCACUACGAUCCCAGAUGAUUCACAAUGAUCCAAUUUCCAGAUAUUGUGGCCAUAGUGCUGUACCUCACUGGUGAGGUUCCCGAAAACUGUGCAAC